GGCUCCCGCCCACGUGGGAUGGUCGAGUCAGGAAGUUAGCUGUGAAGUUUGGGAAAAGAAAGAGAGGGACACCAUCAUGUUCUGGACUGAUAAAUGCAGUGUGUCUGCUCCCAAUUACAUAUAGCUCAAAAUGGCACGUGGGAAGGAAUAAAUGAAUCCCUUAUAAUUCAGAUUAUCAGCAGGACUCGAAAAACAACUUCCAAAGGUUCUACCAAAUAAAAGCCACCGUCAGAAGAAAGUCAAUAAACUACCAUGUCACCUGUGGUCACCUGGACUUACUACUUUUUCAGGUAUAAGUCAUUUUUGUACAUGCAUAUUUUUCGGUUACCGCCUGAUUUUGACACCAAAUUGACCUGAGAUUCAUGGGCAGGAUGACAGCUGUUUCAACCUAGUGACCUUUGGAAAACAUCUCCCUCCCUCCCAUCCGCUGCCCCAAAUACAGUGAAUGAGGAAAGCCAGUCAACAGAGGCAUCCAAGGUUGUGAUGGACCAGCUUUGAUGUUGCAGCACAUAUGCACGGCCCUCCAUGAUGAAGAGCACGCGUUUGCCAUCCAUACUUCAUGUCAAACCAAGUAGCACAUCCAUUUGUCAACAGAAGCUACACUGUCUAUGCCGUGUUUUAAAAGUUGAGCAACACAUUAUUUCCCUUGGAAUUAAGUGAAGUUGAAGAUUUUCAAUAGGCAGAUGCGAUUUGAUUGCCUACAAGUAGUAUAUACAAACAUUGAUAGCAAUUAAAGCAAUGGGAAUUUUUAAAGUUUGUCAUUUUUUCCCAAAAACUAAC